CCCAGAGGUAUUGAUAGGUGAAAUCAGCUUUCGGGUUGAUCACACGAAUUACACCAACCUGCGCAGAUGCGCAGGUUUUUUUU
rnacentral:sRNA from 1 species